AUGGAAUCCACAGUACAAUAUUGUACUUUUAUCAAAUUGCAUAAAUCAGUGUACUAUUUUCAUGAAUAUUAUGCAGGGAGCUCCAUUCUACCUUGGUUGCUUCAAAUAAAAAAUCUGCCGACUGAAAGUAUGUCAGUUGGUUAUUGGUGCUCUUGGCCCUUUAUGCUUAUUGGUUAUUUGCUUCAUGUGGUUUCCAUUUUUAACUACAUGGGCAAUUUUAAUUUCAGUGUUUAUAUAUCUAUCAGUUCUCGUGCUCAUUGUAGAUUAUGCAAUACAAUUAUGUUCAGAGGAGCUUUAGAGUAA
rnacentral:rRNA from 1 species